rnacentral:rRNA from 1 species
UCGGGAAUUUUGGGCAAUGGGCGAAAGCCUGACCCAGCAACGCCGCGUGAAGGAUAAAGUAUUUCGGUAUGUAAACUUCGAAAGAAUAGGAAGAAUAAAUGACGGUACUAUUUAUAAGGUCCGGCUAACUACGUGCCAGCAGCCGCGGUAAUACGUAGGGACCAAGCGUUGUUCGGAUUUACUGGGCGUAAAGGGCGCGUAGGCGGCAAUUCAAGUCAUCUGUGAAAUCUCCGGGCUUAACUCGGAACGGUCAGAUGAUACUGCUUUGCUAGAGUGCAGAAGGGGCAAUCGGAAUUCUUGGUGUAGCGGUGAAAUGCGUAGAUAUCAAGAGGAACACCUGAGGUGAAGACGGGUUGCUGGGCUGACACUGACGCUGAGGCGCGAAAGCCAGGGGAGCAAACGGGAUUAGAUACCCUUGUAGUCCCUGAGCGGGCUGGCAAGGCGCAU